CCUGGGGAUUGGACGUGGUUGAAGCAAUCUGUUAUACCCAGUAAUUUUCGGCCAAUGCUGGCAGUAAGGAAGAAAUUGUCACUCCUAAAGAAACAAAGCUGCAUUUAUGCUUCAUUCCUUCAGCCCACUCCCUCCAUCCUUCUCCAUGGCCCCUUGUCUGGUACUGUACUUCAUUCUACCCUCACUUGUGCAAACAGGACAGAUCUUGCAAGAGGUUACAAAAGAGCACGGAAAAAUAUUGAGCAAUUAGCAGGUAUGGUGCCUUUUAUUACAAAUAAUAGAAUGUAAGCAUUUAUAAAAAUGAAUGUUACACGUGCAUGUUUGAUCACUUGUUAAUGUCAAGCACGGGCAAAAAAAACAUCCUGUACUAAAAACAGCUUAUCUCAUUGCUUGAUCGUGUGUUUCAAGCACAUCUGUGUUAAUGUCUUAUUUGUCCCAUCUGUCUUAAUGUCUUAAAGUAGGUGCUACAUAGGUAAAUGUGGAUUAGAAAGAAAGUGAGGACCUGUUGUCAGAGAGGAAUUCAUUAAAUGCAGUGUCGGCUUGCAGCCACAUUACUGAGUGUAGGAUAUAUUGAACUGAAACAAUUGAACUUUAGAGGCUUGAAUACCACUGAGCAUCUGAAAGACUAGGCAGGAUCCCGCCGCAUAUUAUGGUGGCGGAAAUCAUUCUCCUCAAUAUAAGUGUCACUAUUUCAUUCAAACUGAUGCUUCUUUUAAAGGGACUUUGACACAUUUAAAAGAACCGUGAAAGAGAUAGACAAGCACUGUUUAAUGACCCAUGGGAUUUGCCUAACUGAAGUAAGGGGAAUAAUUCUUGCUAUUAUUUUUUGUUUUUGUAAACUGCAUCUUUAUCACAAUGUUCUUCUUAGCUAAAGGCUUAAAAUUCCAUUUUGUGUUUAGAAUAAUAUAUGUUGGCAUUUUGUAGGCACAUAGAUUGUGCCAUGCAUUAAAUGCUAUGUAAGUGCUGUGUCCAGCAAAUUACCAUAGCAGGCCAGUUUAAUGGGUUAAGAGACAAUACCAUUAGAUCAUGUUUAAUUUAUGCUCCGAAUCCUGGAGGCUGGGUCUGUGCAGAAGCAAGUCUAACUGUUUAUUUCAUAUUAUUUAUUCGCUUGGAAGAAACACCAUUCUGAAAGUGGCUCUUGGAAUAGAAUUAUGCUGCUAAUGUAUUUUACAAAGACGUAAUUCAAAAACCCAUAUUCCUGUGGCAGAGAUUCAUGUCGUUUUGCACACACUGCAUUCAAUUCAUGCUUAUAAUCCUUUGGCAAAGAGAGAAUAUUUAUCACAUAUUAAACUAUAAAAUUCUAACUACUGCUGAACCACUGAGCAAAUGUUCUUUAAUCACACCAAAUUGUAAUAAAUGUACAUAUUGUUUAUUUGGCUACAACUGCACCAUUGUUCUUGGUAAAAGGGGAAAAAAGCAUCUUUGAAAUUAAAUCUAAAUUUAAUGUCAAUUAUGAACAUAUUUUCAGUAAUUUUAAAUUAUGAAACAAUACAUGUAAACCGCAAAGUGAAUUGUGACUAAGGAAAAUUGUUUCAUACUUACCGUAAUUUUCUUUUCCUGAUCAUUAUACAUGGCAGAAUUUACUUAUGGGUUAGCUCCUCCCAUCAGAGCAAUGAGGACAGGAAAUAAAACUCUGGUAUAAAUAGAUCCACCCCCUUCCCACCUAGUAGUCAUUGUACAUAACUCUCACAACUCUCAAAGUAGAUGGGUGAGCACAUAAUGUAUAAUAAUCAGGAAAAGAAAAUUAUGGUAAGUAUAAACAAUUUUCCUUAUUCUGGACCAAACAUUAGGGCCACCAUCAGGGCAUGGCGAUUGUCAUGGGCCUGGUGGUCUUUGGAGACCUGAAUUGCUCAGGGAGGCACGGAGAGAUGCGUGCACCAUAUUCCCAAUGUGCUUAUAUAUAUAUAUAUAUAUAUAUAUAUAUAUAUAUAUAUAGAUUAUCAAUAUAUAAUGCAGGAUCCCAGCUGCAUGCCAUCUUCAGUUUCCGGCAGCUCCUCUCUCCAACUUUCACAAGCCCCUGUCUAUCAGAGCAUUGCCGCAAGUUACCAUGGCUAUGCGCGACAUAGCACACACACUGGGCUUGCGAAAAUUGGGGAAGCUGAAGAUGGCGUUGGCUGGACUCCUCUUCACUAUACAGCACCUGGCAGCCUGCACAAUGGCACCGGGUCACAAGGGAAUGUAUUGUCCCCCCCUCCCUGGCCACAGGUAAGAGGCAUGGUAGGGGGAGUAAAAUUACAUUAAAAUAAAUGAAAAAAAUAAUACUUACUGCAUACUACAUCCACUACACAACACAUUCAUUGUCUUAAUCAAUGAGAUGGUACCUGGCAAUACUCUGGUCAGUGGCAAAAUUACCACCUGCGACCGGGUCCAGCUGCCUGAUGCACAGGGCUGGACUGGUGGGCUGACAUAACUUCAGGGCCGGUGCACAGCCGCACUCAUACAAAAUGCAUAUAAUGGACACGUACACGGGCUGUGGCUUCACACCAACUCAUACACAAAGCAUAUAGUGACAGACAUCGCAACUGUCAUCUGGGAGCCUCAAUUCAUUUGCGGGAGACUCCAGGAUGCCCGCAUGGUCUACAUAAUGUCCCUGAAAUCUAUUUUAUUUUUUUAGAACUCUCUCUUGCACUAGAAAAAUUAUUUCCAGGAUAUUACAGUGCGACUCCAUAAGGGAACCGCACUACACUAACAAGGAGCGCCUUCCCCUCCCAUUCUGCAUAGGAGCACCAGGUGUCACGUUACUACCCGACACCCAUUCUGACGGAGCGCGCUGGACUUCAAGGAGCCGCCCUCCCCUGCCAUGACAAUUAAAAGAGUACGGAGUGGGGCACCAAUUUGUAGAUGUGCACAGCAGGUGCUAGCUUCACCUAGAGUGAUGGCUCUGUGAAGGAGGCAGCUAUCUGCUGUUUGUGGAGGAAGGAGGAGGGUGAGAAACAUGAAUGGGAGGAAGUAGGGGGGGUGGGAGGCAGGGGAGGGGGAGCUCGAGAUGCAAGGGGGAGGGAGACAUGGAUAUAGGGGUGGGGAGAUACAUGGGAGGGAGAUAUGGAUGAAAGGAGGAGUGUGGAUGAGACAUGGUAGCAGUACAUGGUUGGAAUGUCUACCCCAGUUCUUAUCCCCACUACAUUUUCUAAUCCCCCCAUUUACAACUCAAACCCCCCACUACAGGCCACGAGAGCCCCUAACUCUUCAAUUACAGCCUCUAUCACCCCACUACAACCCACUACCAGUGCCCCUCCUGAGAUCAGUUUAUGAAUUCUGUCCUGCCACGUCAGCCACUUCAGGUAGACACUGGGUUCUGGAGAAACUGAGUGACAGACAUAGUGAGAGAAUGACACAGCAUUCAUCCUGAUUGGUCUCCCUUUCAAAGACAGACAAAUCAGAGCACGCGCAUGUUGGGAUGUCUGUAGUAAAUGCAUAUACCGAAGCUCUGCUACACACAAACUCAUAGUACAUGUAUACUGAGGCUGUGUCUUCAGACCAACUCAUACAUAGACCAUAUACUGGACACAUACAGGAUCCUUUACUUCACAGCAGCUGAUAUACAGAGAACAAUAGUCACAUAUACAAAGGCUUUGUCUUCACACCAGCACACACAGCAAGGCUAUCUUGGUCUCAUAUGCUGAUUUAGAUAAGCAAGGAGAUCCAAACAAUACAUUACCUUCCACUCUCUGAAAGAAGCCUACUUAUGUGCUAAAAUCCACAGGUAACAGCAAUCAGUGCCACAUGCCUUGAUAGGAGUGUGUACCCUAAAGCACAAACACACACGCCGCGUAUAUAUAAAUACAUACACACACACACACAUACACUGCUGUGUGUGUGAGAGGGUGCUGUGUGUGUGUGAAGGCGCUGUGUGAGUGUAAGGGUGCUGUGUGUGUGUGAGGGUGCGGUGUGUGUGAGAGGGUGCUGUGUGUGUGAGGGCACUGUGUGUGUGUGAGGGUGCUGUUAGUGUGUGUGUGUGUAUGUGUAAGGAUGCUGUGUGUGUGGGUGCUGUGUGUGUGAGGGUGCUGUGUGUGUGUGUGUAUGUGUGUGUGUGGGUGCUGUUUGUGUGUACUGUGUGGGGGUCGGGGGACCGUUUAUUUAAUAGCCCCCUCCCUUCUUGCCUUUUGUAGGGAGGGGGACCGUGCUGCAGCCAUCCCUGGUGGUUCAGUGGUGAGUGAACUCUAGCCUGCGGGGCAAAGCUCCUGCCUCCCUCUCUGCCUGUGGGCUGGUGAGGGAGAUCUUUGAGGCACAUGGAGGCACACCCAGCACACCCCUUGCGCACGCCUAUGUACAUGUAUAGUUAACUCAAUUACCUAUGCUUUGUCUUAGCAUCGGUAUUGGCUUUUUGUCUAUCUUCAGCACUGUGGUGUUACGGCAGACUUGAUACAGCCAGUAUUUCCAUUAGGAGCACUCUUUUGUAAAAUGCAUCAUUAGACGUAUAAACUUGCUUAAAUGCUCACUACAAACGUAUUAAACGUGACCUAUUUGUUGGAAUAAAGUCCAAUGUAAGUAACUGGGAGUAAGCGAGAGAACAGAAACCCAGGUACUCAGAAUAAUCUUUAAUCUAAACUACUAAUGUAUUUCCCUGAGGUGGGAAAAUACAGAUGAACUGCUGCAGGCCUGUUUCAGCCAGAAAUGGGGAUUUGAACAACUGAUAGCUUAAAGGGACACUAUAGGCACCCAGACCACUUCAGCUCAUUAAAUUGGUCUGGGUGCAUACUGCCAGGUCCUUUAACCCUGCAAAAUGGCAGGGAUGGGGAGCACUAUUGUUUCCCUUUGACUUGUUUAAAUUAAAAGCUUCCAUACCCACCCUUAUGCUAUUCAUCAACACCAGUGGGGAAAGGUCUAAAACACACAUGGUGUUACACAUAAAUGAGGCAUACCCAGUAGGUCACCUUAUGGAAAUCUUGUUUACUGGGUCCUCAGGUAAAGGGGCUUAGCCCCGGCUUGUAUUCAGUGGACAACUGAAUACAAUACUGAUAAAGCCCAUAUUGAAGGGAAAUGCGUUUGGUGGCAUAGCCCUUUAAAUACACAGUAGGUUUAAAGUGCUCUUAUAUAUCCGACGGAACACAAACACGAGGGUCUCAAUACAAUCUUCAGCCACAGCUGCAGGAUCCGUGCUACAUACAUUAGUCUGUGAGAAAGGAUACAGUUUCUCCAUACAGGUUAAAUUAUAACUAGUGACAUGUUGGCAACUUUUUAAUAAAUGUGAGAGUCUAAUUAUAUGUCUGUUUACCUAAUUUUAUUUGUUUAUUAGUUUAUUUACUAUAUUGCCCUAAAAGCAAUGUUGAACUCCCAUCCUCUUAUCUUUCCAUAUAUACUGUAUAUAUAAACAUGCUGGCAUCUACACAGAGGAUUGGGACUAUGUUAUACUGUUCUCUUGGAAGACUACAAAAUGUGUCCAUUUUUUAUAUUAAUGUGGGCUACACUCAUACAGGACAUAUUUGACACUUGUCCUCUAGACCGGGGUUCCUAAUAAUUUUUCCUGUGGAACCCUUUGACAUAGUGUACCAAAAAAAAAAAAAAAUUGUGCAAUUCUUCUGCCGGUGUGUCUGUGUGUCAAGGUGUGUGUAUCUGUGUUUGUAUGUGCCAGUGUGUGUAUCUGUAUGUCAAUGUGUAUCUGAGACACAGAUAUAGACACAUUGGCACAUAGUGGCACAGAGAUACACACACUGACACACAGAAACACACACCUUGACACACAGUGUGUAUCUGUGUGAGUGUGUAUUUAUGUAUCUGUGUGUCAAGGUGUGUGUAUCUGUGUGUCAAAGUGUGUGUAUCUGUGUUUGUAUGUGCUGGUUUGUGUCUGUGUAUCAAGGUGUGUGUAUCUGUUUUUCUAUGUGCCAGUGUGUGUAUCUGUAUGUCAGUGUGUAUGAAUCUGACACAGGUAAGCACACACUUGCACAUAGUACCACACAGAUACACACACUAUGUGUAUGUAUGUAUCUAUAUGUGUGUCAAGGUGUGUGUAUCUAUGUGUCAAAGUGUGUGUGGUGUGUACCUGUGUUUGUAUGUGCCAGUGUGUGUAUCUGUGUGUCAAUGUGUAUUUGUGUGUGUGUGUGUGUGUGUGUGUGUGUGUCUAUCUGACACACAGAUACACACACUGGCACAUAGUGGCACACCGAUACAGAAACACACCUUGACACACAGAUACACACACUCAGAUACACAUACACACACUCAGGUGCACACAGUGACACAUACACACAUCUUGACUCACAAAUAUACACACACUCACAUACAGACAGUGAUAUAUAAACACACUUGCACCCACAGAUACACACACUAGUACAUACACACACUCAGAUACACACAUUGACACAUACACACAGUGUCAUAUACAAACACUGACAAACACUCAGACACACACACUGACAUACACGCACUCACACAUAGGCACAUACAAACACACUGAAACACACAUGCCAAUACACACAUACUGACAACCACACACACACACACACACUCAUAUACACAGUGUGACACAUACACAAACCUUGACACACAGAUACACACACUGACACACACUCAGAAACACAUACUCUUUGACAGACACACAUACACUCUCACUGAAAAACACACAUAUUAUUUGACAGACACGCAUACAAACAAACACAUAUGCACUCUCACUGACAAGCACACAUACAUUCUCACUGACAAACACAUACACACUCACACUCAGUGACAAACACACAUACACUCUCAGUGACAAGCACACAUACACACACACUCACUGAAAAACACACAUACAAACUCCUCAACAGACACACACACAAUUUAUUUAUUUAUUUUAAAUUUCACUCCACCCAGCCUCCUUACUUUUGGGAGUGCUGGCACACAAUUUAUUUAUUUUUUUAAAUUUCACUCCACCCAGCCUCCUUACUUUUGGGAGUGCUGGCAUUGAGUCUCUAUUUUCCUGGGGUUCAGUAGGAGUGCUGGGCUGAGCGGCUGGCGUGCAGUCCUUGGGGUCCAGUGGGGCGUCCAGUGCGGGCAGCGAGGGAGCAGUGAUCUUCCUGCUCGGCUCCCUCGAGCUCCUCUUAGUGAUGCCGGAAGGCGGAGUGACGUUAUAUUCCGGCUCCGGCAUCACUGCGUUCAGAUUUGUGAGAACACAAAUGGGGUUCUGCCAAAAUUUCGGGGAAACAAAAUGUCAGCCGCGAUAAUUGAGGCAGACGGCGAGGGAGCACUCUCCCCUGCUCAGCUCCCUCGCCGCCCGAAUACCAAUUGGGAAAUGCUGUCCUAGACAGAUCGCUCCUUGUUGUUGUUUUUUUUGUUUUUUUUACAUUUUCUGGUACAGAUAGUUUAGAGAUUUUGCUCUAUCUUAAGGAUUGCUACCAUUAGUUGAGUUUUAUAUGUUAGAGGGUUUGUUCUAUUCAUGUUUUUAUAUGUCCUGAGUAAUGUUUCUGUAUAUCUAUCUAUCUAUUUGUCUAUCUAUCUAUCUAUACAUAUAGCUAUAGAGACAUAGAAUAUGACAGCAGAUAAGAAUUUCGUCCAUCUAGUCUGCCCAAGUUUUUAAAUACAUUCAUUAGUCCUUAUCUGUCUGUCUGUCUAUCUAUCUCUUUAUUCUAAGUACAGAGAAGUUAUACUACUAUUUUCACUCGUAUUGUAUAUAUUUACAGUAUUUUAGGUGACCUAUCAUCUCCCUUUUCUCUCUCUCUCUCUCUGCACUACUUAUAUCUUAAUUAUAGAAGAUUAUCAUUUAUUUUAGUAAAAAGAGAUAGCAUCUUACAAAAAACGCUAAAGGAAAUACACAAAAAAAAAGAGUCACAACAUAUGCCCAUUAUUUUAUAAAAAGAUGGUUGAACACAAGAUCCAGAUAAUGGUAAUAAUCAACAAAAAAUAUUUUAUGUUGAUGUGCAGCGCUUUCGUGGUUAAUUGGAAUAAAACUACAACUGUAGCACAUUUCAAUCCAUAUUUAUUCACUUACUAAAGAUGUUUGAUGCUUUAUAUUGUUUUUUUUCUAUGAAGAUUAGAGUCAUCAGUAAAAUCAACAAAAAAUUAUUAUAUAAAAAAAUCUUUGUGUUAAAGCACAGAGAAACAUUUACAUUUACUUGCUGAGUUCUGAUAAUUUGUUUAUCACCUUUUUCGCAAGAUCUAGUUCUAGCCAUACUGAGUCAUUCAUGUCAGUCAGCAAUGGUCUACAAAUAAUAUGUACCAUGCUGGGUUACCUUUUUAUCAUUCUCAAGACCUCACAGCAUGCAAAUCAUCCAAUGCUGGAUAUAGGUUAAUGAAUGAGAAAAUGUGCAAUGUGUCGGAUCAGAUUGCCCCGUCUUGGAAUACACAUAACCACACGUGGGGAUUUCAGAAUAUAUGCAUGUGGCUUCUCACAAGAGAUCGAGGCUCACUGUAUCCAUUAUAAGACACUAUCUUUAAAUUCAAUUUUGCGUGUGGCCACAUGUGUCUGUCUGAUAUCUAGCAGUUCAAAAACAACCUUUCCCCCUGUGGGAUAGCUGUCACCUGUGCAAAGGCUACCAUGAGGACCUAUACUCGAGGGCUUAUUUCCUUUCCAUCAACAUCUGAAGUCUGGUGCAGUAUCCAUGUGGACUUUUACCAUCUGGGAAGUAUACAUUGAUGAGAUACUCUGGCCUCCCCAAACUCAAGAAUACUUAAAGAAAUCACAAAAGUUUCACUCAAUCAAACUCAUGACCUAAACAUCCAAUGUCAUUUAUUAAUCUUUGACCAGUUUAAGGAGGGGGAUUUCACAAAUGGAUAUCGAUACUUAUACAUGUAAAAAUAGACUACAAAUGUAAAACCUGCCCCAUUAUUGACUGUGACCACACCUACAGCUGGUUGUUUUAUCUACCUGGGACAUAAAGACUCCCAAUCUUUAUUUCUUCACCGCCUUACAAAUAGCUUUGCUUGGUUUUCACUUGUUGAACAUGUGUGUCUUUCUUUCUGUUGUGGCUUGUUUUCUUCAUGUGUACAACUACAAUCAGAAUGAAUCAGAAUUUGUGGUUUGUGUGGCCCACAAAGGUGAUAGCAGCACCAAUAUUUAUUCCUUAGGAAUUUUUUCACAAUUGUAUUUUAUUAUUUUAACUACAAUCAGAAUAACCCUUGAAGAAUUACCUUCCCCAAAAGAGGUGCAGGAUAUGGGUGCAGUGUCUUGCUGCACAAACAAAUCAUCAGGUAUCCAGGUCCAGCAGAGGGGGCCUUAGAAAAAGCACAAUGAAGGGCAUGAAUUGUGAUUGACUGCACAUUUUCAUUAUCUAGAUAGCUCUGGUGUAUCUUCUCUUCUCCCCCAAAAGGUUGUUGACAAGAUAACUGCACACAAUUGCUUAAACAAUCGGGCAGGGCAAGACCGACAUUUGGAGAACCCCAGGAUCAAGAAUUAAGAUGGAGAUGCCAGAACAUAAGGACAGGUGUGGAAAAAAUGCCAGGUGGCUGACAGGUUCAGAACUUCUGCAAAGAAAAAAACUAAAUAAAUUAUGCCAGAAAAAGCAAGGGCUCCAAAUCCAAAAGGAAAGGUUUAUUCUCCAAGGUACAUAAACAAAUAGGGGAAAGCAAAAUCCAAAGAGAAAUAUUCCUUACAUGUUUUGGACCAUAGACAUAUGAGGUUCAGAGCUACCUUAUUCAUAACAUUGAAAUUUGAACCACUGAAACAUAUGUUGAGCCAUGCCAAAGACACUAAAAGGUAUUACAUGUGCACAACUAUCAUGCUUAAAGGCACACUCUAAGUACCAUAACCACUACAGAGAGCAGUAGCAUGUGCUAACAGGAAAGGAUAAAAGAAACCGCAGUGAUUAAAAUGACUUUAAAGGGUUGUAUUUAGAACUUAUUUUGAGCACUGCAUACAGCUGCUUCUUUUUUUUUUGAGGCUAUAUGAAAUCUUAGCUUGCAAUAGCUGUAGAUCUAGUAUGUGCAGCUAACUGCAAGCCCAUCCCGUCUUCCCCAGCACAGACUUUCUGUGGCUGUCCAAUCACAGACUUAUCAAUGAUCUGCUGUAUCACAGAUCCUUGAGAAAUAUUUGCAACGCAGGUGCUCUGGAUGAGAAGGGAACAUCUGUCAGAAUUGCUUAACCCUUUAAGGACACAUGACAUGUGUGACAUGUCAUGAUUCCCUUUUAUUGCAGAAGUUUGGUCCUUAAGAGGUCAAAUGACCACUAUAGUGCCAGGAAAACAAACUUGUUUUCCUGGCACUAUAAUAUUAAUAGGUCCCCACCCUCAUGUCCACCUUCCCGCCGGGCUCUAAGGAGUGAAAGGGGUUAAAAAUCUUACCUUUCUCCAGUGCCAGGCUCCCUCAGCGCUGGGGACUCUCCUCCUCCUUCGGACGACAUCGGCUGAAUGCGCAUGCGCGGCAAGAACCGCGCGUGUAUUCAGUCAGUCCAUAGGAAAGCAUUCUUAAUGCUUUCCUAUGGACGCUGGCGUCUUCUCACUGUGAAAAUCACAGUUAGAAGCACGGAAGCGCCUCUAGCGGCUGUCAGUGACACAGCCACUAGAGGCUGGAUUAACCCUAAUGUAAACAUAGCAGUUUCUCUGAAACUGCUAUGUUUACAACAGGCAGGGUUAAUGCUAGAUGGACCUGGCACCCAGACCACUUCAUUGAGCUGAAGUGGUCUGGGUGCCUAUAGUGGUCCUUUAAUGUUUUUUUUACAACCACUAGUCAAGAUAUCGAGGUCCUAUCUUAGGUACUUAGGAUAUGUCAUAUCUAGGUUUAAUCAUUUUCUUAGGGUGGAUAUCUUUAAAUGGUUGCCAUUGGAUGUGGACACUAUAGUCACCAGAACAACUAGAGAUGAUUGUAUUUGUCCUGGUGAGUAUAAUCAUUCCCUUCAUGCUUUCUAUAGUAAACACUGUCUUUUCAGAGAAAAUGUAGUGUUUACAUUACAGCUUAGUGAUAACGCCAAUGGUCACUCCUCAGAUGGCUGCUAGAGGUGCUUUCUAGGGCAGGGCUGCACAGUGAGCAGCACCGCCAUUCAGUGUCUCCACCCUCUGCAUACAGACACUGAACUUUGCUCAUAGAAAUGCAUUGAUUCAAUUCAUCUCUAUCAGGAGAUGCUGAUUGGACUGUGUUUGACUUGUGUUGGCUCUGUCCCUAAUCUAUGAUUGGCUCAGACCACCACUUCUGAUGAUCAGUAGACAGGAGGCAGACCGGGGCAGAGCCAGCAGCUGCAGACUUAAAUAAAAGUAAGAUUUUACUAUAUUUAGGGAGGCAAGUGGGGGUCUAGAUGGUGGUUUUAACACUGUAGGGCCAGGAAUACAUGUUUAUGUUCCUGACCAAUUAGUGUUCCUUUAAAAAAUCCUCUAAAAGAAAUAGUGACUACAGGGAACAACUGAUUGGCUUUAUUUUGAAAGCUACAGAGUAUUUAUUGACCAACAACUAUUUCUCCUUUGACUCAGCCUUUUACCUGCAGAGGUGUGGAAAUGCUAUGGGGGCAAAAUUUGUCCCCUGCCAUGCAAAUCUAUCUAUGGGUUGGUGAGGGGAAUCCCACAUCUUUGCAGGUGGGAUAGCAGAGUAUUUGUGGGAGAUAUAUUGUGGUGUACAGCGAGGCUGUACAGAUAAUUAGUUUUUUCUAAAUUUUGAAUUGGAACAUUGUAAUGGGUCUGUGAUGAAAAAAGAAAAUGGUUUCUGCGAGGCAGAGGAAGUAUCCAACUUCACAACUGUAAGGUACUCAGUUACACACACACCGCAAGCUCAUCAUUCCAUUUAGAGAUAGAAUCUCACACAAAUUUACAUAAUCAGAAAUGGCAGUUGCAAACACUACCUUUAAUUAGCACACACCAACACUUUCUUAACCCCUAACGCCCAAUCCAUUCCAGCAUACUUUCCCAUGCUUUCUACGCCACAUCAUCUGCUCAAUUGCCUCUCCUGACCUACUCCCCAUCUCCAAGUUUUUUCUGAAAGUGCACACUCAUCUGAGCAAUGCUCUUUCUUCUCCUCCUCUUCUUUUCCCUCUUCUCCCUCAGUAUCAAAAUCUCUCCUCACACACACUUCCCUCAACCCACCAACAACCUCCACAUUUCCCCCUCCCUGUUACACUCCCUUUCUCUCAUCUCAUGCCAUGCACUCUUUUCUUUACUCUCUCUCUCCUACUUACAAACAAUGUCAUCCUAGACUAGAACCAUACAAAACCCAUUCACACCUCCUGUCACUAUCUCUCUUCCUGCUUCUAGCAGUUGGUGAUGUCUUUCGAAAAUCAGGGCCCCACCUCCUCUGUUCAUGUUAAGGCAACCAGAAACUAAACAAACCUCAUCCCAAUACCCUGCCAUUUAUCCUCAUCUGCCAACAUUCAAUGUACAUUUUUGAACACGCUCUCCAUCUGCAGUAAUCUGAAAUCGACAACCAUACAUGACCACAUCAUCUCAAAUUCUUUUAUACUAUUAGCAUUCACUGAGACCUGGUUGACCCCCUCUGAUAGCACUACUCCUGCUUAAUUAUGUUUCAGUGGGCUACAAUUCUCCCACACUUGCAGACUUCAAUAUACAUUUCAACCAAUCUUCCCUGCCUUUUCAUUUCCAUCCUUUGAAGUUCACACUGUCCACCUAUUUAAACCCACUCCUUUAGGAAUUGCCCCUUCAAUACCUUUUGAAUUGCCAACUUACCCUGUUAACAGUCUAUAAUGAAUGCAGCGAGGCUCAUCCUUCUCCCACGCCUCAAUCCUCUGUCAGUCCCUUCACUGGUUUUUCAUAUAGGGCUCAAUUUAAAAUUCUGAUACUUUCCCACAAAUCUCUACAUAAUGCUGCUCCAACCUACUUAUCCUCCCUAAUACACAAGUAUGUCCCACCUAGGCACCUACGCUCUGCAGAAGAACUACAUCUAUCCUCUGUUCGUACUUCAACCUCUGAUGCUCACCUCCAAGACUUCGCUAGGGCUGCACCGUUCCUGUGGAACUCCCUUCCCUUCUCCAUUAGACUUUCACCCAAUCUCCAUUCCUUCAAAAAAUACAAUGUAAACUCAUGUCUUACGAAAUGCAUAUCAAUAAAACUGUUAAUAGUUUCCCUCUCUGCACCUUGAUUCCUUUCCAGCAUCUGUCAUCUAAAAAAAAAGUACCACUAAUCCCUCAGUGGAUACUAUUCUUGUAACCUACUUUUUGCAGAAUUUGUUGGCGCUAUAUAAAUAAUAAUAACAAUGAGAGGUGCUACAUGAAACAUAGGUGGGAAUUAUGAAUGAGUAAAAGACCACCAUCUAAAAUAACAACAAAACAUCUAGUUACACAACAUUUGAGUCAAGGCAAAACUGGUAUCACAACUGGAAUUGGGUCAUGAGGAGGAGGAGGCACCUAUGACCACAGAGUUACAGUAUAUGAUCAUACAUUGCAUAAGCCUGCCACAACACCAAUGUAUCCUAUUUUUGACCAUUUUGACCAUUCUUUGAAAAUGAAUAUCCCAUGUUGUAUUUAGAGUUUACCACCAGCAUAUUUUUUGCUGGUCAAUGCAACCUUUCUGUUGUAUGUAUAAUAUGAGAGCACUUGCCAAAAACGCCUGGUUUUGCAUCCCUCCCUGACACGUGGCUAAUUGUAGGACACUAUUUAAACCUAUUUAAACAUUGAAUAGAACCUGUCAAAAAAAGGGGUAUUGGUGCUGUAAAUGACUUAUACAGUAUCAUAAAGUACUCUUAUUAAAUCCCUAUCACUAUUUUACUUAAGUUGGAUAGUUACAUUAUCACUAUUUUACUUAAGUUAAAAGUUUAUAAAUAUUUAAAGGGUUUUAAAGUUAACAUGAAUUGUUAUGAAAUAUAUUAUUUAUUUAUUUAUAAAAUAUGUUACCAGGAAAGAUACAUUGAGAUUUCUUUCAUUUUAAAGUAUGUCCUGGGUCUACAAAACAUUGCAUUGUUACAUUAGGGUAUAAUAAAAUACAAAAACAAUAUUAAUACACAAUAUAUACAAAAUUUAACUUAGAACAGGUAGGAUAUAUAUAAUCAACCAUGACAGGCGCAUUCUGUUUUGAGGUAUGUAGAGAGGGAUCUCUUAAAGGACUUUAGGCUUGGGGAAGAUUUUAAAUUGUGCUGGAGGUCGUUCCACAAUUGCGGUGCUCUGUAGGAGAAGGAGGAUCGGGCUGCUUUCUUUUUGUAUUGAGGUAGACUAAAUAAAGUGUUGGUACUGGAAUGGAGUGUAUAGGAGGUAGGAACAGCCGGUAGGGCGGGAGUUUCCCAGAAAAUCUCUUAAACACAAGGCUGGAAAGAGGAAGGGUGCGUCUGGAUUCCAGCGACAGCCAGUUUAGUUGUUUUAGCAUGUCACAACGGUGGGUCCUGUAAUUACAUUGUAGCACAAAUCGGCAGAACGAGUUAUACAAUGUGUUGAGUUUAUUAAUGUGGGAUUGCGAUGCAGAUGCAUAUACUACAUCCCCAUAAUCAAUGAUUGGCAUCAGCAUUUGCUGUACAAUCUUUACUGUAGGGCUUAGGCCGGAUUUGUUUCUGUACAGGGUACCUAGUUUUGGAUAAAGUUUAGAUGCAAUAUAUAUAUAUUGUGAUAAAGUGAAGGCAGAUAGGCCUUUUAACCCCAGGGGGAGUAUGUGUAGUUUGUGUUUUGCACAACACAACGCAUUGUUUAGUUAUGGGCCCCUGGGGUGGAGCAUUUGGAGAGAAUGGUGGGCCAAUGCUCCACUCCACAGUUUAGUGGUUUUCUGGGGAGACAUGGAUCCAGGCCAGGGUUUUUUGGAUCGUCUCCAACCCACUGCUCAGCUGCAGUUAAUAAGCUGUUGCAGUGGGAAUAAACUCCUCCCUGCUAGACAGGUAAAGCAGAGGGAUUGCUGGCUUCCUCCCAGGAAGCAGGUAGGAGAGAGGCUGAUCUCUCCAGAUAGAGUCAAAGAGACUAGGCACUGGGAGUGCGGAAAGGAAAGCAGUCAGGGCAAGGCUGGCUUGGAGCACUGGGAGUGCAGAAAGGAAAGCAGUCAGGGCAAAGCUGGCUUGGAGCACUGGAGCACAGUGGGCAGAGAAAGGAAAGCAACAGGUUAGAUAGCAGAGUGUUGCUAUCUAAAAGGUUGGUGCAAUAUUGUUUAGUGUAACCCUGAGAGAUAGGGAAACUUAUGUCAGUUAGUGCUCAGACGAGCUAGGUUUUUGUUUAUAGGGUUUUCUGUUACAUUUAUGUUUUCAUUUUACUGCUGUAUCCUGUGUGAACUUACAAAUAAAGUGCCUGGAGUAUAUGAAUUACAAGGACUGUGCAUGUUUUUGCCCUAGAGGACCGUGCUACCUGCUGACAAGGAUCACAAUAUGGUGGAGAAUGCGGGCAUAGUAGCAAAUUGAGGGUCUGUGGGUGUGCCAGUCAUUCAGUAGUCUGCUUGAGGACUUUUUAUUUUUGCAGACCUGUUUAAAAAAAAAAAAAAAAAAAAAAAAUAGUAGCACUGUACCUUUAAGACUAUUACCUGCUUGGUGCUAUAAUGGAGGACCUGCUGAAGGCUCUGGUACAGGCAACUGCUGUACAACAAGAGGCAACUGCUAUACAACAAAACACCAACCAUUUCCUGGCUGCACAGAUUAAGAACCUGAGGGACGCUCAGCAGGAGUAUAGAGCUGCCCUUACUGAUGUUUUGCAGAUUGCCUCCAGCAGGGUGUGUGGGGACAAGGGACCCCGUAACCAAGCUACUGACAUCCUGCAUAAGAUGACAGAGGCAGUAGAAGAAGUCUUUAGCAAGCUGAAAAGCAUGGAGGCAGCAAAGCUUGAUGUUGAGAAACACACAGAAGAGAGAGAACAAGAAAUAGAAGGCAAGAAAGAUACAAUUGAGCCUGAAAGUAGUGCUAAUGUGGAAGAAGGUGACACUGAUGACAUGCACCAAAGUAAGAAAGGAGCGCGAGGCAUACUGAUUACUGAAGUUGACAAGUGUUUAUUUGAGAACCAAAAUGUUGCAGCUUCACGUGAAAGCCUCAAACUUGCUCUAAGUGGCAUCACAACAGAUAAAGCGAUCCUGGGAAAAGAGUUGGAAACAAAAAUAUUUUCACGCUCAGAAACUGCAUCUUGCAUGUUUCAAGAGAAUGCUGGAAAGACAUUUGAAAACAGAAAGGUACUGAUAAAUCUUCCCAAGGUAAUGAAAGAAGAAAAGGAGAAUGACCGGAACAGUGCCUGCAGUGUGGAAAACAAAGAUGAGACUCAAUCAUGUAACGAUGACACAGUGCCAUCUGCUACAUGUCGGGAUGUACAAGAGGCAAUCAGGCCACGGAGGUGCAAGUAUUUUGAUGCAAAUAAUGAAAUAGAAGAAGAAUCAGAGGAUGAUGAGGAUUAUGUUCCUUCAGAAGACUGGCAAAAUGAAAUAAUGGUUGGUUCCAUGUUCCAGGCAGAGAUUCCAGUUGGCAUCUGCAAGUACAAGGAAACUGAAAGAGUGUAUGAAAAUGAUGACCAGUUAUUGUGGAACCCAGAUUUUAUAGUGGAAACAAGAGUUCUAGAUUUUCUAAGUGAAGCGCCCAGAAGGACUGGUGAAGAGAAGAGAAUAGAUGCAAUUCCAGGGGGAUCACAUAUAAAAGAAAACGAAGCAGGAGCCCCUGAUGUACACCCAAGUGAACAAGUUAAAGGCAUGAAAAGCAGACUGACUUGGGGAGUCAGAGAAGACAACUGCAAAAGAGCUGAGCUUAAUGGAGAGAAGCAAAGCACCCCAGCUGAGUAUAGCAAUGCGGUGCACUGUUUAGUAGCCGAGGCUACCCAAGAUGUCGACCAGCUGUUGAACAGUUUGGCAGAGAAAAGAAAGGCAAAGUAGCUGCUUCUGAUCUAAGCCAAGAGAGAGCGACAGUUACAGAACCAAGCUGUGGUGAUAAGAUGGGCACGUCCGCACCUAAGCCCGACCAAGGCGAAAGUUACAAAGCAGGUGACAUUGGCGCAGCUGAAUUAAAUAUUUCAAACACGUCUGGUAUUGCUACAAAGACUUUGAAGGAUUGUUUGGGAGCCAUAGAACUGGCAAAGACUACUGCUACAAGGCCUGGGCGCACUAACUACCUGGAACAGCUGCCAGACUCUGGGAACACAGUCGUGGAAUUAAAGGCGGGACUCGGACUGCCUGACCGGCUGUUUGAUACCGGGGCUGUCAUGAUCCAGCGAGAGGCCAUGACUGCGUCUCUGGACACCCCCAAGGGAACAGGGAGACUGCCAGACAGCCCAGAGGAAAGCAUUUCUGACACUGAGAGGUGGCCACUCAAGGCCGAGCAAGUGGAAGAUACCCCUGGGGAGGAAACCAGGCAAAGGAGAGAUGAACUAAGCCAGGAGUCUGGGCCUCAGGUAGAACAGCGCUCCAUGCCAAGCCAGGCCGAGCAUGAUAGGAUGGAGCUGGGAUCAAGGGCUGCAUUCAUGCAGGAGGAGGGUGCUCUAGACAGCCUCCUUGGCCAACCCCCUGAGGAUAUAGAGAUGAGACCUGUAGCAUUAGCCGUAGGGAGCAAUGAAGGCUCCCAGGAAUUCGCAGAACUGAUGAUGGAUGAGCUGGUGACAGAACCAGGUCUUGAAGAGUUUGAGCACCCAGAAAAUUUAGCUCAUGAAGGAAUUGGAUGUAUAAGUGAUAUAGAAAAGUUAAUUACACGCAAAGCCUUUGUAAAGUUUGCAUUUGAAAGUAACUCGGACAUUGAGAGACUAUCAAACCUGAUACUGAGCCUGGGACAAUAUAACUAUGCUGGCAGAACGUACCCAAAAGUCCCAUUAUGGCUACGAGACCAGACUGAGAAAAACCUCGAUGCUUCAACUACCACAUGCAAGGACAUAUUGCAUAUAACUGUCCUGAGACUGAAGAGCCAAUACAAUGUGACAUAGGAAUAAGGGCUCUGCAUAGGAUAGUAUUGCCUUGCUUAAAGAUGUGUAUGGUGACUGGUGGUGGUGUUACAGCACAGCUAAAAGUGGUGAUGGUGGUAGAGAAGAGUGCACAAACAUUGAUAGAUUCAAGGAGUGAGGUUACUUUGAAAAGUGUUCUGCUCCAGCCAGAAAAAUGUGAUUUAAGACAAGUGUUUGAUAUUGUGGGUACACAUGGUGACACCCACACAUACCCCAUGGCAGAGGUAGAGUUUGCCACAGAGGUAGUAAAAGUUAAAUGCCCUGUAGUACAUGUAGCUCAAACACAAGAGCGUAUAGGUAAGGCCAGGUUUCUGAGUACCUUGGACCUGGUCAUAAGGUAUUGGCAGGUUCCCCUGACAGAGACAGCAAAGGGAAGGACAGCGUUUUCUACUCCCAAGGGGUUAUGGCAACAUAAAGUACUGCCAUUCAGGUGGCAUAGUGCACCAGCCCCCUUUCAGCAUAUGAAUAAGAUACUUUGGCCCCACGGAGAGAAUGCCGCUGCCUACCUUGGUGAUGUGGCGAUUCACAGGGUGGACUUGGAAGCACACCUGAUGAAGGUCCAGUUAGUUGUGAAUAAUGUAAGGGCUGUCGGUCUGACCGCUAACACUAAGUGUUAUCUAGGAUUUGAGGCAGCUAACUAUUUGGGUUGUCCGCUUGGGUGGGGGUUCCUUAAACUACAAGGGAGCAAGGUAGCAGCCAUCUACAAUAGGCCACUUUCUGUAACUGAGGAGCAAGUCAGGGCUGGUACAGCCCCAGGUGACGUGAACAUUCGUGGUUUGUGUUCUAAGGUCGCUCGACCCGAUGGGUCUGAGCUGGGGGGGAGGAUAUGUGAUAAAGUGAAGGCAGAUAGGCCUUUUAACCCCAGGGGGAGUAUGUGUAGUUUGUGUUUUGCACAACACAACGCAUUGUUUAGUUAUGGGCCCCUGGGGUGGAGCAUUUGGAGAGAAGGGUGGGCCAAUGCUCCACUCCACAGUUUAGUGGUUUUCUGGGGAGACAUGGAUCCAGGCCAGGGUUUUUUGGAUCGUCUCCAACCCACUGCUCAGCUGCAGUUAAUAAGCUGUUGCAGUGGGAAUAAACUCCUCCCUGCUAGACAGGUAAAGCAGAGGGAUUGCUGGCUUCCUCCCAGGAAGCAGGUAGGAGAGAGGCUGAUCUCUCCAGAUAGAGUCAAAGAGACUAGGCACUGGGAGUGCGGAAAGGAAAGCAGUCAGGGCAAGGCUGGCUUGGAGCACUGGGAGUGCAGAAAGGAAAGCAGUCAGGGCAAAGCUGGCUUGGAGCACUGGGAGUGCAGAAAGGAAAGCAACAGGUUAGAUAGCAGAGUGUUGCUAUCUAAAAGGUUGGUGCAAUAUUGUUUAGUGUAACCCUGAGAGAUAGGGAAACUUAUGUCAGUUAGUGCUCAGACGAGCUAGGUUUUUGUUUAUAGGGUUUUCUGUUACAUUUAUGUUUUCAUUUUACUGCUGUAUCCUGUGUGAACUUACAAAUAAAGUGCCUGGAGUAUAUGAAUUACAAGGACUGUGCAUAUUUUUGCCCUAGAGGACCAUGCUACCUGCUGACAAGGAUCACAAUAUAUAUAAUCCUACAAAAGGAAAAACACUAAGAGAGCGCAAUAGAAAUACGUAAAAGUAAUCAAUAAGAAUUAUAUACAGGUGUAAGCAGCUAAAAUGCAUAAAAGAAACCUUUCCAAUUUUUACAUACAAAAUACAAACAGUGCUUAGUAAAUAUACCCCUAGAUAAAAAGUAUAUUCAAGGGUACCACAAAUGGACAAAUUCGAGUUCCUAUGAAUAGUUAUUUAAAGGGUGUCUUGUAAGAGUUCCUAGAAGGGGAAUUGGGGAUGUUAUAAAUAAACUAAAAGUAUUACACUAUGUUGCCAUUUAUUGUAAUUUAAGAUGGAUACAAUAUAACCUUGAAGUUACACGGAGGUGGAUACUGUUCAAGCAAUAUUGGAUCUCCCAUACAGCGCGAUCGUUUUAUCGUCUAUGCUGACACCCUUCAAAUAACUAUUCAUUGGAACUCGAAUUUGUCCAUUUGUGAUAACCUAGAAUUUUUUUUUAUCUAUCGGUAUAUCUACUAAGCGCUGACACUUCAGUUUGUAUUAUAUAUAAAAAAUCCUGAUGAAAGUUUGACAGACAAGCUGAAACGUUGAGAUUUUUAAUGUGAGCAAUAAAAGCUAAGUUUUAUUUUGUACUACAACAUCCUUAGAGUGCUAUCUUAUUUUGUAUAUAUAUAUAAAUUUAUAUUAAUAUAUAUUUUUUUUUUCCAACAAAAAUUAUAGGUUAGAAGUUUAGCUUAUUACAUCUAAAUUCUAAUUUCAGAAUGUUCUCUUUUGGUCAAUCAGUUGUGCUGUUUAACAUGUAUCACCCAUUGACGUUACUGAGACUCCCUACUACACUAAGUUUAUCUUCUUGCUUACAUUGGCACACAGUCCAGAUUUAAUUUGCAAUGAUCUCUCUGUGGCUGCAUCCUAUCCAAAAAAAGUACAUGGCGCCGAGGAGCCUGGCUAUUUGUUACAAAGCCAAUCCACUGUCAAGCCACUGGUUCUCCCAGGACCAAGGGGAAACAAGAGAACUGUAUUUCAACUCGAAAAGUUUUAUAUCUUAACUACAUUACCCUUCAACAUGACUGUUAUUUUAAAUGGUUUAAUCAAACUGGAAAGUAAAGUAAUAUUUCUGAGUCCUUUUCAAAAUUUGAAGAGGAGUACAAUCCCUUUUUCUGAUGAUCAUGGAGGUACAGAAAAGCAGUCUAAAAUAUCAUGUGGUCAAAGGUGAAGAUUUCAACAGCCCAUAAAAUAAAAGGGACUGUGUUUGGUAGCCUGUGACCCAGCAACAGAGCCUCACAAUUUACGAGUCUGUGUACAGGAAAGCUUAGAAAUGUUCUAGAAAUGAAGAGCCAUGCAUAAGAAUUCAGUAGCCAGCGUGUAAUUUAUUUAGGACACUAAGUUAUGAGUAUGCACCAUUAAUUCUAAGAGCCAUAACUCCCACUAGCUUAUGACGCUUGAAGUAAAAUUAUUAUUUUCAUUAAAGUAAAACUCUAGUGUUAUAAAUAUGUAUUUGUAUUUACAAUACUAGAGUUUUCCUAGUGAAUAUUAGAUUGUUGUCUCCUUUCUCCACCCCCUCUCCCCCUCCCCCCAUAAAAAGUUAAAUAAUAAAGCUCACCUCUCAUGCAGUGGCACCUUGGUCUUACCACAGGAAGUGCAUAUCUGUCUUCUGAGAUCAUCUGGUUGGAUAAUCUCAGCCAAUCAAGUGCUUCUCCAUAGAGAAGAAUUGAGGACUUACUGUGCAUCUGCAGUAAUCGUCAUGCUUAAUCAAUAGGUCUCCUCAUUAAAAUGCUUCUCUAUGGGAAGACUUAACUGCAUUCAGUGUUGUCACAGUGUUGUCAUAGUCUUCACUAGAAAGUCCAUUUAGUGGCUAUCUGAUUGACAGACAACAGAAACACACUGACUGACAAACUACUCUUUGUCAUAAACAGAAAUGCUUACAUUUGUCAGUAUCUUGGCACUAAGGCCACUACAUAGGCCACUUAAGUAGUGAUUUGAGUCUCUGUAAAUAACUUCAAGACUAGUGUAAUGGUGUCACAUGGCAGGCCUCCAGCUAUUAUACUUCAACACCCAUAAUUCUCUACUAGACGGACGAGUGUCUAUUGAUCUUAAGGUGCUUGGAUUUGCAUUGAUCUCUUCGAGACUUUAGUGAAGAAUACUGACUCAUAAUUACAAUUAGCAAGUCACAAUGAACGCUAGAACCAGACUGAUCUUAAAGAAACAUAAAAAUCAGAGUAUCACCAAAAAAUAAUUCUGCAAAACAUAUAAUGACCUGGCUGUGACAUAUUGUCAAACAAUGCCUUUAAGUCAUCAUCAUCUGCCCUGAACAUGUACUCAAAAAGAACAAAAAGGAAGGAAAUAUAAUUCCCAGAACACUAAAAAAGAUACUUGAAUCCCACAGUCUUCUUAAUAGGGCACUGCUUUAAAACGUCUGUGCAUUUUUAUUACACUAUGUCAUCAAAUCCUCCUUUCGCACGUUCCGAGAAAUGAAACACCUAAAAUCAUACCAAUUGCACAAGUGAUAAAAAUAAUUUCAAGAUUGUAAAUGUAAUUUCUAUAUGCUGCAGUUAAAAUGAUAAAUGCCCAAUCUAUGUGGAUUGGUUCCUAAUAAAUUAUAAUCACUACAUAUUUGUUAUUAAUGUAUUUCAUAUUUGAUUGCUAUGCUGCUCUACCGCUGUACAGAGAGUCAUUAAUGCUAUUAAUGCAACACUCUAGAGAAAAAUAUGAAUAAUGUAUAGCCAUAGCAGCUUGACUUGUACAGAGUAUCUGUAUGCUAGCCCAUUAUUGCUUAGUAUAGGUCAGCACAUUUGGCCCCUCAGUGUUCUCCAGCCCUGUUCGGGCUGUCAACCUUGAAUUUGGCUGAUCCACUACUCAAAGAGAUUUAGACAAAAUGGUCCAGUCAUAGCUUCCACUACUAAAGUCAAUGCUGGUUAGAACAAAAAACAUGACAAUUCAGUCAACAAUAAAUCCUGCAACAGCUAAUAAUGCAAAAGGGAAUUUCUAUUAUCAACAAAAUUUAAGGUUAACUGUUAAUCCUAAAUCCUGGUAACUACACAAAUCUAACAUAUAAAACAAAUUCCCUUGCAGCUUGCUUGUAUUUAUAUAUAUAUAUUUAUCACAUUUCUGAGGAAUCCCUGCUGGGAGAAACACGCUAAGUGUGAAAUUGCUGCCCCCUAUUGUUUUUUUAUUGACAAUAUUGUGCUCCAUAUGGAUUUUACAAUAUAUUUUAACUUAAUAAAGUAAUUUGUUAAAUAUAUUUUAAGUCCUAUUUUAUAAUUUUGUGCUGCUGACUCUUUUCCUGGUUCCUGCACAUCACAGGUGGGGAUUAUACCACCAAAGCUGUACAACACCAGAGCAAGUUUUUGCUCUAUAAGUUGUAAGUAGGAUACUGAGUUUUUUAUUGUUACUUCUGAGAUUGGCAUACUACACCAUUAAAGUUUCCACUUCUGUUUUAUUGUUUAUAUAUUGGAACACUACCGUACACCAUCUGGAGGAUCUUCAUACAUCCUGAGACAGGGAUUGUACCAUCCAAGCGAAAAAAAAUCAGAGCUCUAAAUAGCUCAGAAAAGUGUGAGUUAGUCAUUUUAAACAUUUAUGAAGGAUAAGCACUUAAAGUGACAUAUUGCACAAUAAUCUGUUUCAUUUGAGUUUUAUUGUUGAGAAUUUAUUCCUAUUUGGGUUAUAUCUAAAACCAGAAUGUAAAACACCUGCCAUUCUCUUGUCUGCUGCAUUUGCAAGCUCUUCCCUUCUAACCCUGCACAGACGUUCUGUGGCUGUCCAAUCACAGACUUCCCAAUACAGCUCAAUAUGAAGUCUUUUCAAGGCAGGUGCACUAAGCAUUAGCUGUCUUUUGAGUUUAGCUCCACUCAGAUAAGCAAACCCGGAAGUAACAAGACCGGCUAUAUCCUUGAAAGCUUAAAUUAUAAAAGUGUAAAUUUCUAUUGAAAUCUGCACUUUUUGUAAAAUGAAAAAAAGAGGAAACACUCUUCACACAUAAAGCAUUUCAGAAAGCUAAAGUGUUUUAGGGGUCUAGAAUGUCCCUUUAAUGUAAGUCAAUUCUAAAAAAAAACCAGACAGCUUUUAUCAAAGCACUGUGUUGCUAUCAGAAAAUCUUCCACAAAGUAUUUAAUAAUUUCCAGCAUCCACCACUAAUCCCUAUUUAAACCCAGGUCACUAGAUAAUCAGUGCUCAAUUGAGUCUCAAGCAAAUUUGUUGCACUUGUGUUACCUGCUCUCCUUCAGCUACAGUUCACCAUAAUUAACCAAUUUAGUACCUAUUUGGUUACUCUCUGACUUCUUUGUGGCUUCCAGACCAUGGCUCUGCUCAUCUGGCAUCUUUCCAUCACAUUUAAAGGGACUCUCCAAUGCCAGGAAAACAAACCAUUUUCCUGGCACUGCAGGUCCCCUCUCACUCCCACCUCCCAUCCCAAGUUGUUGAAGAGGUUAAAACCCCUUCAGUGGCUUACCUGUAUCCAGCGCCGAUGUCCGCCCACGCUCCUCCCCUGCUGACGUCAGCGGGGGAGACCUAUUGCGCAUGUGCGGCCGGUGGCGGGGGAGACCUAAUGCUCAUUAAACCUCCCCAUAGGAAAGCAUUGAAAAUGCUUUCAAUGCCUUCCUAUGGGGAUUUCAGCGACGCUGGAGGUCCUCACAUAGCAUGAGGACGUCCAGCGACGCUGUAGCAUACAAAAUGUGUGCUAUAAACCCGAAAGUGCCCUCUAGUGGCUGUCUAGUAGGCAGCCACUAGAGGAGGAGUUAACCCUGCAAGGUAAAUAUUGCAGUUUAUGAAAACUGCAAUCAUUACAGUUGCAGGGUUAAGGGUAGUGGGAGUUGGCACCCAGACCACUCCAAUGGGCAGAAGUGGUCUGGGUGCCUGGAGUGUCCCUUUAAGCCCUUUAUACGGCAGUCACAGAGAAGCAUUUGACUGGACUGUUCUCUCCAGCUCAGAGCGCAUGUGUGCAUUCUGAGUCCGGUAGGAGGGGGAGUGGGUGGACAUAAUAAAUAAAAAAGAUGACAGUGGCAGGGAGGGGAAAAGCUCAUUAGGUCUUUCGUCAGCAUUCAGACAGACAUAAUUUUUGCACAUAAUUGACAUUAUGCAGCUUGGAACAGAGUCUAGCUGGCAUGUGCCCGGGGUGCAACUAGCCCCAACACAAAAGAGCACAUAUUUCUGUAUGUUCAGCAUUUCAAACAGAAACUCUGCAUUUACAGAUUAGUACCACCAUGGCCACCUCUAAAGCAGAAGUAGUCAUGGUCGUUAGAGUAACCCUUUAAGUAAGAAUUGUUUCUCUAGAUUAUCUGCUAUCCUUAUGACAUUGGCCUAUGGAUCAUAGUUGUGGCGGUAAUAGUCCACAACUAUGUCAAUCCAUACAGAAAGUAUAUAUUAUAAUUGUCUUGAUUUAAGUUGGUUAUAUUUGAACAUUGUGAAAUCAAAUGUAAUUCAGUCCUUUUGAUGGGAUUGUGCCUUUCAAUUUAUGCAAGAGCUUCCCAAUCAAAAACCUUUCUCUUAUUCUUAAGGUUAUUGUAUCCUUCCAUUGUUGCAAGUUUUUUUUUGACAAUCUUUAUUUUCGAUUUUUAUCAUUUUUUCAAGGAAAGAUGUAGUUACGGUAAAAUGUCAAUUGUAACAUCAGUUUUCUGAAUAGCUUAACAACAUUCGUAGCCAUUGUUUUAACAUUCUCAAAACAGUUUUCUCAAACAAUAUUUCUAUAGUUUCCAUCACAUGCAUUAGGUAGAAUUAUUUAAGGUCAGGUUUCUAGUCUCGUAUCUCCACUUGCCUACAGUGCGCAGUUUGUUGCACCUAUGGUGUGCGCUCUACGUUUAGGGUGUGAAUCGGUGUCUAGUCUGGUUGCUGUGGGGGGUAAGUUUUUUGACACGCUAUAUUACUCAUUUCACGUUUCAUACCAACAGUGUCAGAGAACUUUUUGUCGCUUGACAUAUAUAUAUAUUGUUGGGCAUGGUAUAGAGCCACGGUAGCGAGAAAAGAUAUCUUUAGUGCCUUAACUCCUCCCCAGUCUACUCAGCACUUAUUAACAUUCAAGGCCAACUGGUCGCCUGGGUGAGAGCAAAGUGUGAUGGUUUAGGUUAAGUUCCCCACUAUUGUGGGUUGGCAGUUGUUGGUGUAUAUAUUUGUAUGCCUAUCGGUAUAGUUUGUCAUAUGGGAGGAUACUCUAGGUAUCAGUCUAGGUGGCCAGGAGGGGAUGUUUUCAUGCCGGUAUCAGCUCUAGGUUGGGUCUCGGUUUCCUGUGUAUUUUGCACCUGUGAUUACAGUGGGUGUGUGUAUUGAUAAGCCCCAGUUACGAGCUCGUCAGAGUCUAUCGUUGGGGUUCAGUCCAAUGUCCAGUCUCGGGAAAGGGUCUGGAGGUAGGGGACCUAGGUGGGAGGAGUAGCUGGGUGGCUUAGCUCUGUAUGAGUCGGUUUACUGCGGGCCUCUGGGCGGCCGUGUUUGGGUUUGCUAAUCUGUUGGCUAGGUAUGUUUCCCAAGGGUACCAGGUCAGUGCACAUUGCUCCUGUCUACCGUGGAGGUCUGCAGUUAAGGAUUCCAUUGAGUGGAUCUCUUCCACCCUUGUCACCCAUUGCUGGAGGGUAGGCGCCCCCUUCUGUUUCCACAUUGCAGGGAUAAGGGCCUUUGCCGCGUUGAGUAGUGGCAGCAAGAGGGAUUUCUUAUAUGUCUUGACGGGUGUGGGGGUGUGGUGUAAUAGCAUCGUUAGGGGUUCUAGGGGUAGCUCCGCACCUGUGAUUCUGUUUAUCUCUACCCUGAUCCUCUCCCAGAAUGUGGUAAUCUCGGGGCACUGCCACCAGAUGUGGAAGUACGUGCCGGUGUGCAAGCCGCAUCUCCAGCAGGUGUCCGGGGCACCCACGUUCAUGCGAUUGAGUACGUCUGGGGUUCUGUACCAGCGUGUUAAAAUUUUGUAGUUCAGCUCCUGGUACUGGAGCUGAUAGAGCAUUUAUGUGUGAGAGUGUAGAUCUUGUCCCAGUCUUGCACAGUAAGGACUUCCCCCGAGUCUCUCUCCCAAUGAUCCUUAAAUUUGAGCACCACAUCCUCGUUAGUUUGGGUCUUGAGUAUGGUAUGUAUAGAGGAGAUACCUCUGUGUACGUGUGUUCGGUGUACGCACAGGUGUUCAAAGCUGGUGAGGGGUCUAGUCAGGUGUCCUCGACCAUGUAAGGAUAAGAAGUACGUCUUAACUUGGUGGUAUCUGAAUUGUUCGAGUAUCGUCGGUGGUCUAUCGGGGCAGAGGUUUCUGAGUGGUUUAAGUCCCUGAGUGUCGAGCCAUUGGUGUAGGUGUAUCCAGUCUGCCUGCUGGAGGCCGGCUAGGUCUUGUGGGGUUAGAGCAUCGGCCAGGUCUGGGUUAUGCGUGAUGGGUGUUAAGGGGCUAGGGGAGCUUGUGAGUUGCAGUCGGUAGCGUAUAGCCAUCCACACUCGGAGCGUGGCGUUGAUUAGUGGGUUCUCGGUGUGCAGGUCGGAGUAUGUGGCAGUGUGUAACCAAAGCCUAGAGGGUAUUUUUCUAUCAGUUUGUUCUAGCUCAAUGGUCACCCAUUGUUUUAAUGGGUGUUGUGCGUGCCAGUCCGUCAGUCUGUGCAGGUGUGCGGCGCGGUAAUAUUUUGGUAGUUCCAGGGUUGAUUUUUUAAUUCGGGUUGGGCGAGAGUUCCAAACGAAUCUGCGGAUGGCAGUCGUCAUAGAGCUAAAAAAGGCUCUGGGGAGAGUAAUUGGCACUGUUUGGAAUAGGUAAAGUAUCCUGGGUAACACGUUCAUUUUAAUCGCGUUGAUACGUCCGAACCAGGAGAUGUAAUAUGGGGUCCAUUUCUUAAGGUCCGUCUGAAGUGAGAGUAGGAGUGGGUGAUAGUUAUGGUGGUAUAAUUGGGACGGGUUCUUGGUCAGCCAUAUGCCCAAAUAUUUUAAUUUAGUUUCGCACCAUUUAAACUUGUAUUGGGUGUGAAGGUGUGUUGGGGGGGCCUGUAGGGGGUGGGAGGUGGAGGGCCUCGGACUUAUCCGUAUUGAGUUUAAGAUUAGAGAGUGCCCCAAACUCUCGGAAAGAUGCUAGGAGGUUGGGCAGUGAGAUCAACGGCUGUGUAAGAAAGAACAGCAUAUCGUCUGCAUAUGCGGCUACCCGGUAUUCGUGACGACCAAGGCCGAAUCCAGAGAUUCCCCCAUUCCGUCUGACCGCCCCCAGAAAUGGUUCCAGGGAGAGGGCAAACAGGAGGGGGGAAAGCGGGCAUCCCUGGCGGGUGCCAUUCCUGAUUGGGAAAGGGGCUGAUAGUGCCCCGUUAAUGCGGAUCUUCGCAGUGGGGCACGUGUACAGUGAGAGCACCCAGGCCAGUAUGUUGGGGCCGAAUCCCAUGUGUGUAAGGGUACUCCUCAGAUACGCCCAGCUCACCCUGUCAAAAGCCUUUUCGGCAUCGGUGGAAAGUAGUAGAAGUUCUCUACGGCGCGCUCGUGCUAUGUGUAGGAUGUUCAGGGCCUUAAUCGUGUUGUCUCUCCCUUCCCUGCCCGGGAUAAACCCAACCUGAUCCGAAUGUACCAAGUGGGGGAGGUGUUUUGCAACUCUCAGGGCAAUGGCUUUUGCGAAUAGUUUCAGGUCUGCGUUUAGUAGCGAUAUGGGGCGGCAGCUCGCGCAGUUCGUCGGGUCCUUGCCCUCUUUUGGUAUUACAGUAACUAUGGCUGCUAACGUGUCUGAGGGGAAGCGCCCCCCUCCAGUAUGGAGUUGAGGCCCAGUAAGAGAUUUGGUAAUAAGAUGUCCUUGAACGUACGUAAGUACAUCAGGGGCAGUCCGUCAGGUCCUGGGGCCUUAUGGGAUUUGGAGAUUUUCAGGGCCGCCGCCAGCUCCUCCACAGUGAGGGGUUGGUCUAAGUCGUCCCGCAUUUCCGCGGUCAGCUUGUUAUCUAUAUUUUGUUCCAGGAAUUCAGUAAUUUGGCAGGUCUGUCGUGCACGGGCAGCGUCAGUGUUGGGUUGGGGGAUAUUGUAUAGGUCCGUGUAGUAGUCUACGAACGAACGCUGAAUUCCGUCCGGCAUUCGGGUUUCAGCUUUGUCACUGGGCUUAAUUUUGUGUAUGUGGCUCGCCAUCCGACGAUCACGGAGCUGGCGGGCUAGCAGUCUGCCACUUUUGUCCGAGUGUUCAAAAAAGAACCGGGCCGAUUUUCUAAGGGUGCGUAGGAGACCCUGAGCUAAUAUGUCCCUUCUCUGUCUCCGGAGCGCUGUUAGAUGGAGGAACGUGUCCUCGUUCUGACUUUGUUUAUGAGCUUGCUCUAGGUUGGCUAUUUGAGUGUUUAAUGUUGUCAGCUGUCGUGUAUGUUCUUUCUUCCAUUGCGAACAGACCUUAAUAUAGUGUCCCCGUACUACACACUUAUGUGCUUCCCACACCGGCAAGGGCGAGACAUCGGGGGUUGUGUUAGUGUCGAAGUAUUGUGUUAGAGUUUGCCUAACUGGGUCAGUGUCACCCAGGUUAAGCAGCAUAUUCUCAUUUAGCUUCCAGUGCCUUUCCGCUGGUUUGUGUAGUGGGGAUUGGAUCUGGACUGAGACCGGGGCAUGAUCGGACUCCGCAAUCGGGCCUAUGCUAGCCUUGCGGACUAAUGUCAGGGCUUCCUGUGCCAUAAAGAUAUAGUCAAUCCGACUGUAUCUCUGAUGUACAGCUGAGUAAUAGGAAUAGUCCCUGCCGUCAGGAUGCGCCACCCUCCAGCAAUCCACCAAUCCACUCCUUGUCAGAGCUCUCCCGACUGCGCGUAUGCAAUGACCUGGUAUUGAGCUUUCUCCCCUUGAGGUGUCUAAUCUGGCGUCUAACGGAGUGUUAAGAUCUCCUGCCAUAAUUAGUAAGCCCUCUCUGAACUUGUUGAGCAAAGUGAGUGUUUUAUUUAGGAAGACAUGUUGGUUACGGUUCGGGGUAUACAGGCAUGCGAAUGUGUAAGGGUGUUGUGCUAUGGUUCCUUUGAUGAAUAAGUAUCUACCCCCUGGAUCUAUUCGUUGCUCUGUGCAUAUGAACGGGACCGUAUGUGAAAAGAGGAUCGCCACCCCCGCUUUUUUUUGGUCGGCAUGGUUGGAGUAAUAGCCUGUGGGGAACCUUCUGUUUUUCAGGGUGGGGGCCUCCACGCCUUUAAGAUGCGUUUCCUGCAAAAACGCCACCGAGAUGCGUUCCGCCCAGAGAGUACUGAGUAGCUGAGACCGCGGGUACGUUUAGACCUCUAACGUUGUUCGACCACAGGUUAAGCGGUGCCGGCACAUAGUUAGUGCCCCUCCCUAGCUGUUCGUGGGGAGGGGUAUGGGUAUGUCAGAAUAUCACGGGGUGAGGUUCGGGGGGGGGAAGUAGAGUAGUCCAGUCAAAGUCAGGGAAGGUUAGUGGGUCGGGGUAUAGGUGACUACGACUCGCCUCGGGGUCAGUCGCCCCCCGGUGUCUAUUCCCUUCGAGGUAUGUCACCAGAGUAGCCCCCGAGGGUUUGUACAGUGUGAGUCCGUCACGUGAGGUACGGGGGUCGUCCGUUCUGGGGUGAACCGUCGUAUGAAUCGCACUGCUCUCACGGCACCCAGCCCACUGGUUUUGUUUAAUUGGAAUUUUCCCUGCGGGUAUGGUGAAGUAGUACGAGGGUACCCCCCCCAUUGUCCAUUUUCCUCUCUGUUCUUGAGGGUCUAAGUAAUGCGUGUCUAGUCAGUAUUCGGGCCCUGUAGCUACCUAACGGGUCCGGCCUCUCAGGGUGUCCCCGCCCCGGCCUAACCUCCCCGGCCCCUUGGGCUCAGGUGUGUUACCAGCCCCCUUGUGUAGGUGUGUGCCCCUCUAGGAAUGGUAUGGAGCAUGUGAACUUUAUCAACAACAAUAACAAGUACAACUGUAAAGACCAAACCACCGCCUCUGACAUUCCCCGCUCCCCCCUCCCUAGGGACCACACCCCCCUCCUCUUCUCCCUAUUCCAGCUGGGUGUCCUCUCCUGCUAGUUGGCUUGCUAGUCCCUUCGGGGGAUGGGCGGAGCUUGAAUCUCGGGACCCUCUGGGACAUCAUGGGACUGUCCAGACUUUAUCUUGGGGUGCCACUCAGGUAGUUGGAGUCCGCCAAUGCCUCCCCCCUACCCCAACCACCCAAAGGGGGGAUUCUAUGGGCCGGAGCCCGAGUCUUUAUAAAUCUGGGGGGACCCCCUCCAUGUCGUCAUCGUCCCCGGGUGGUACCCGAUCCCCACAGAUCCCACCACCCCAAAAAAAAAAUGUGGCACUCCAUUGUCUCAAGUCCCAGCAACUCUGACUUGUGCGUAACUGCUACGGGCCCAGGGUAGGGGUGUAAGUACAUACCCAGCGGUGUGUCAGCUUCUGCUUACGGAGGUUGUUCUCCGCAUCAACCUUGGGGGAGCGGUCCGGUAGUCUGUCUCCCUGCGGCGUGGUUUCUGGAGUUAAAUGGGGGUGUGAAAACUGGGGUGUACCUCCGUCGGUGGGUGCGCCGGUCGCUGCCCUCCAGGGCUCUUGAAUCUGCUAUUCUUCAUGGCUAUCCGGGCCGCCUCUGCGGAACCCAGCUCCUGUAAGGCCCGUACCCGGCCUGAUAUUUGGAGCGUUUGGGCGUUGCGGCUGUCUCUCCAGGACCCAAUUUGGGACUGUCACUGCUGGGAGGUUCGCGGCUCGGAGGAAGCGUGGCACGUCUGCUGGCCAGCGUAUGAUAUGCCAUAUGUUGCUCACCUUUGCCUGUAAGCUAAAGGGGAAUCCCCAUUUGUAUUGUAUCCGCCGCUCUCUAAGCAGGGUGGUUAGCGGUCUCAGUGCCCUUCUCGCUUCCAGGGUGAGUACUGAGAGAUCCUGAUAUAGGGAAAUCUGGGCGUCCAUGUAGGUGAGGUUCUUCUGAUUUCUUGCUUCCCUCAUGAUUUCGUCCUUUAACGAGUAGGAGAGCAGGUAGCAGAUUACGUCUCUAGGCGGUCCCUCAGCGGUCACGGGGCGCAGGGCUCUGUGUGCACGUUCUAUUCCAAAGUCUGCCGGGGCUCUGUCCCCUAGUAUGUGUGUGAACAGGCCCAGCAGGAGCUCUGGUAGUGCUUCCCCUGCUGAUUCAGGGAGUCCCCUGACGCGGAUGUUGUUCCUCCGUCCGCGGUUGUCCAAAUCUUCCAGAUUCCUUCUUAACUCCAGCAGGACAUUGCCUUGUCUAGUAGUGGCUGUGUCUGUGGCUUGGCGGUGUUGUAUUAUUUGGGCACGUUCUGCCUCUAGUUCCUCCACUCUGCGUUCUAGUGCUGUCAGGUCUCUCCUCACCUCCAUGACCUCCUCUCUGAUUACUGCCCUAAUUUCAGCGAGCAGGUCCGUCUUAUCUGCCCUGGACAUCAUGUUCGCAGAUAUUGUGGCCAAGUCUGCUGCAAUUUGGGUCAGUGACUCCUCUCUGACUGGGCCUGUUGCUGGGCUGUCUGAGCUGCUGGCGUCCGGUGAGGGCGGCGCCAUUUUGGCCGCGGCCUGGUGCGCCCGCAUGUCUCGCGGCGUUCCGAGGUACCCGUCCAUGGGACCCGCUGUGCGGCUCGGUGAGCCCAUUUGUGAGGGGCCAGGGGUGAGUAGCCUCUUUGUCUUACCCAUCUAGGGUCAAUUCGUGCUCGUUUAUCGGUGCCGUAGUGAGCUGGGGCCUAGGAGCUGCAGGGAGAUGCGUCUCACUCCAUACCCGGUCAGGCCACGCCCCCUUAUUGCAAGUUUUAAUACAAAAAUCACUGACACAUGACAUUUGCACAAAACUUUAGUCAUGUAAGUGAUUAUAUAUAAUUUUUUACUUUGGACACUAGAAAUUUUCAAUAAAUGUGAGAAUCUUCUUAACAAAAUACCUGUUUCAGUAUAUGUAGUGUAUCAAGUGACUUGCACGUGCAGUCCUGCGGCUGGCCUAAAUUGAUGUCAGGACCAAUAAAGUACUAAGAAAGUAAUUGUGUCUAUUUAAAGAGAUGUAUACAUUAAAUUGCAACAUAAUAUAUAAAAUGUAAUCAAAUGUAAAGUGCAUACUUCUUCUAAAUGUCCAAAAUAAGUGAAGUUAUCUAAAGCCCUUACAGUGAAUAAUUAAUUUUUUUUUUUCAGAUAAAACAUUUUAUAUACAGGGAAAUAUGAAGAUUGUACAGGUUGUUGUUUUCAUGGUUGCCGUCUUGGGAGUAAUUUCAACCCCCACUGGUCGACUUUCCUGUUACAAGAAAAUCCUGAGGGAUCGAAAUUGUCAUAACAUCCCAGAGGGACUGGACCAUCUUAGAUCCCUGGAUGAAAAUCUCCAGGACCUGUUUUGGGAAGGGAACAGAUGUGAGAUGGUCUGUUACUGUAAUUUUAAUGAAUUGCUCUGCUGUCCAAAGUAAGAAUGACUAAUUGUUUAUUUUUCUUUUGUUAAAAUAUCUUUAAUUUGUCCGCCAGUUACUUUUUAACAUUUUAUUCUUAGGAAGUAGUUGUUUCAGUUGUGAUAGCAACAGUAAAACAUUUUUCAGGUUAUUCAUAAUGGCUAUAAUGAUGCACAACAGGCCUGCAGCAAACUGUGACUGCUAGAGCAUAUUUCAGAACUAAUGAUUAUAUCUAUGACCUAUUGGUAAGGUUAUAUCAUGCAUAUAUACAUACUUCCACUUUGUCACACAAGUCUUUGAUUCCUCAUUAGAUGAGACAGCUGCCCAUACAUCAGAAAAUAAUCACACUGUCUUAUAAAAGAAUGAUUUUAAUUAUCAAUUUAGCUCUAACAUCCCUAACAACCAAUCAGUAAACUCAAAUCACAGUGCCCCUGUGACUAACACAGCAGCCAUUGCUCUCACCACCACCAUGCUGAGCUAUCAUGGUGGUGAUUGGUUCAAAGUGGUGUGCUAAACCUACACCCAGCAUUCUCAACCUACAACCAUCAUUCAGGUUGGCUGAAAUUGACAUUGCUGAUGUAGAAGUGUAAACUCUGUAUUAUCAUUGGCUUCCUGUAUCCUAUAGGAGUCAAUUCAAAGUGCUAACACAUACAUAUAAACCCCUGAACAAUUCUAGCCCCUCUUAUAUCUCUUCACAGAUCCAUAGGUAUACCCCUCCUCGUUCCCUCCACUCUGCCUGUGACCACCUCCUGACUGCUGCUCACACCCGUACAGCCAACUCGCGCUUGCAGGACUUCUCGCAGGCGGCUCCCUUCCUAUGGAAUAGCCUGCCUACCCCCAUCAGACUCUCCCCUAGUCUUCAAUCCUUUAAGAAGUGCCUUAAAACCCAUCUCUUUAGAAAAACUUAUGGCCUCUCAGAGUAACCUCUACCUUACACACCUGUCUCUUGCUCUUUCCUAUAGGGCAGCAGUUUACUCUCUCCUCCAGCCCUGCUUCACUCCUACCUCAUUUGAUUGAUAUUUCCUGUCCUAAUGUGUUUUAUACCCCACCUCCUAUAGACUGUAAGCUCAUUUGAGCAGGGUCCUCUUCAACCUAUUGUUCCUGUAAGUUUUCUUGUAAUUGUCCUAUUUAUAGUUAAAUCCUCCCUCUCAUAAUAUUGUAACGCGCUAUGGAAUCUGUUGGCACUAUAUAAAUGGCAAUAAUAAUAAUCAGUGCAGCUGAAGAUGGAGCAGUUUCUGGGGAUAUGGGUAGCCUGCUGUUUGACAAAAAUCAGGGGGACAGUGUUGGGAAGUAGACCCUGACAGGAAGACUCAAUUAACCUAUUUUCUCUCUUGCUUUCUUCAUAUUUUACUUUAUAUUUUACUAUUUUACUUACAACAAUAAAAUAUUUCUGAUAAUAAAUACAACCAGUUCUAAACAAGGGUGAAUAAAUGUAACAGGCUGAAAAGUAACAUUACUUAAACAUAUUAUGCAUCCCCAGACGGUGCAAAGCAUAACUCCUUACUGGUAAUAACUAUUCCCGCAUUUCUCUCUGAAAUAGUUUAUUCUUCUAUUUUCAGAGGCAAAUUCAUAAUGGCAAAAUAUUCAGAACGUCGUCACAAAUCUUAAAUCUAAUUUUGCACAGUUCUUUUCAUCAGACAGGAUAUAAUGUUACUUAAAAUAUUCUUUUUGAUAGCUCUGGUAACAUUUGACUGCUUCAUAAGAAUAUAAUUUUAUAGGUGCCAAAGUAUUUAAAUAAAUUUUAUCCGACUGAGGACACAAAUAUGAUUUUGCAAGAUGACAUGCAUUUUACGAAAAUGAUCUGCCAUUCUUUUACUAAAUGCUGUAAUAAUGUUUGUCUCGUGUUUUAAUGAAUUCUUUCAUUUAGCAUAAGAUACAUUUUGAACUCAGAGCAGUAAAAAUAUAAAAAGUGCUACCUAUGCAUAUUGUGUUUUCAUAUUGAAAAGAUAUGUUAAAGAGAAAGCCAGAUUCAUUGCCCAAAAGGGUAACUGUUACUUUUAAGGAUGUAGAUAUAGGGUAUGGUAUGAUAUGGUUAGUUAUUCCCUAUAUUUAACAAAUACGUGUUUGAGGUCUGAAAAAACUUAAUUAAAUUUAGAUAUCUGCACCACUGACUUAUCAAUUAACAGAGCACCUCCAUCUGUUUCCUUGUUAAUCGGUGUUAUAAGUUAUGCCAUUUUCUGUCAUUAAUGGAAGAAGGAGGAUAAGCAGAUACAACAGGGGUGAUUUAUCAAAGGGCCGCAGACAGUUUGCACCUUGUUUUGGCCCUUAUCUCUGUUUUAUUCAUUUAUUAAAUCAGAUUAUUAUUUUUUUACAAUUUAGUUCCUUCUUUAAGCCUUAGUUGUAAUUUUUUUUAAUAUAUGUCAUUUUAUCAGACACACAACAGAUGAUUCAUCAAUAGUGAUGUCCCGAACGGUUCGCCACAAACGGUUCGCCAUGAACGGUUCACCACGAAUGGUUCGCCAUGAACGGUUCGCCAUGAACGGUUCGCCACGGACUCAUCAUUGAGUAAACUUUGACCCUGUACCUCACAGUCAGCAGACACAUUCCAGCCAAUCAGCAGCAGACCCUCCCUCCCAGACCCUCUCACCUCCUGGACAGCUCACUAAGAAUGCAGCUUCAAAAUGGAUGCUGUCCAGGAGGUGGGAGGGUCUGGGAGGGAGGGUCUGCUGCUGAUUGGCUGGAAUGUGUCUGCUGACUGUGAGGUACAGGGUCAAAGUUUACUCAAUGAUGAGUCCGUGGCGAACCGUUCGUGGCGAACCGUUCGCGAACGGUUCGGCAAACCGUUCGGGACAUCACUAUUCAUCAAUAUUUUCCCCACUUUUCUUGCCAGAAAAGUUUUCUGUUUCACUUCGCUGAUUUCCAACACUCUAAACUUGUCAGAAUUUCUUUAAAAAUAGACUUUUGUGCGAAAAUUGUGGAAUUUAGGUACAGAUUAGAUUAAAGAAUUUUAUACCAUUUUUAAAAAAAAUUUAAUAAAUACAAACAGAUUAGGGACCAAUGGGUAAAAAAUAAUAAUAGCAUACAAAUAUAGUGUUAUAGAUUAGGGACCAAAUAUAAAGACACACUUUUCUGAAUAUUUUGGUAAAUCUCCCCCAAUGUUUCUGCUACUCCUUCCCUAAUGCAUAGUGUGCCCUGGCCAUGCCAGGACUAAACUGAGCUGUGAUGCCAAACUGCUAAAUCUUUAAUAUACAUUUAACAGGAAAGGGAGAACAAAAAAAAAAGUUAACACUUCCGACCCCUAAAAAAAUUUUAAGUGUAGAUUUCAGAAGAUGCUGAUUUUUAGAAAACGCUGGAUGUCCUCAUGCAAAGCUUGAGGACAUCCAGUGACAAUGAAACUCUGUGAAAGGUCAGGAAGCACCUAUAGUGGCUGUUUGGUAGACAGGCUCUAGAGACAGUCUUAAACCUGUAAUGUUUGCAGCUGCAGGGCGAAGGGGACAGGGACAUUGCACCCAGACAGCUUCAAAUAGGUGAUGUGGUCAGGGUGCUUUUAGUGUCCCUUUAAUUGGUUGGUUAGAUUAUGCUAUUCUGAUACUGGAGCAGGAAAAUAUGUUUCUCAGAGACCUCUGGAUUUUCCUGCCAAUUGUAACCAGGCCUUUUGGCUGUGAAAGCAGCAGAGGAGAGUCAGUAUACACUAACAAUGCAAGCUCUGUUCUAUUUCUUUAACCAACAGAUUGAGAAUAUCCAUGUAUAUUUCCUUAUACUCUAAAGUACUAAACUCUGUAAUUCCUCUGCUCAGAAUUACUAACAUUAAUACAAUUCUAUGAUAAAUCAUGGACACUGUGAAUAACAUUUAGAAUAAUCAUUCAAGAAACAUUUUUAUUUUUUUUUAGUUACAUUUAUUUCUGUAUUGUUUAUUGAAGGUUUUUUGCCUUUUCUUUUUAGAGAUAUAUUCUUUGGACCGAAGAUAUCUUUUGUGAUUCCUUGUAACAAGCCUUGAUAAAUGAUGAUUUGGAUUAAUUACAACAAGAAGAUAGGCUGACCAUGAAAAUGUGAUAUUAUUAACCGUAUUACCGCGAGCACGUUGUAAAUAAAGAACAUGAGUACCAUGGAUUGUGUGGUUAUUGAAAUUGAAAUGUAAGAUUUAUUUGAAACAUGGGAUGCACAAAUAUUUCAUUAAAUAGGGACAAAACAACACCUUUGUAUGCAGACUGCUCUUCACGGAGAAAUGUAAAAUAAAGUGCAUUUUAUAAAGUAUUACCUUGUGUUUUGCAAUAGAUGCAGAUAGAUGCAGGACCC
rnacentral:lncRNA from 1 species